GUGAAUCAUCGAAUCUUUGAACGCAAAUUGCACUCUCUUCGGAGAGUAUGCCUGUUUGAGUGUCAGCCUAAAAAAAAUCGACGUAGUUGCUGUUUCGCGGUGACAUUCGUCUGUAAUUGGAUCAUCUUACACCUUUGGGUUUUUUAAGCAGCUUAAAUUUUUCUUUAUGAUUGCACGAACGUUUCUAAGAUUUUACUUUUUACACACGUUUCAGUUAUUGAUCUUUAUUACAUUUGACCGUUGCUUCGGUACGACUCCCU
rnacentral:misc_RNA from 1 species